rnacentral:lncRNA from 1 species
CUAAGGGAGAUUUUACCCUACAUUGAUAAAUCCAUAUCAUUACCCUACUACAUUGCAAAAUGUUGAGAAACAAUGGCUGCAUCUCUCUGAGCCAGAAGAAGCAGAAAAAGUUGGGAAAUACCAUUAUGUCAAGCAUGCGGUUAUGAGUAUGGACCUCUUUUUUUGUUUAGCUGUUGAUGAGAAAGAGACAAAUCAGAUUCUGGAUCAAAACCAUAUAUAUAGACAAACCAAUGCAUGGCCAUUUCAUUCACAGAGCAACACCACAAGUUUGAAAAAAGACAGAAAGAGGAGGCUUUAACUCUGUCUUGCAUUGAUUUCAUGAGAGCUGUAAGAAUAAGCAAGCAGCUCUGAUUCCGCCCUCUUCAAUGCCAUCAAAGAGGCCACUUCUUCCAA